ACGACUGCACCACUGUCCAUCACAGUAACACCAUUGUAAAGUUUGCAGAUGACACCACAGUGGCGGGGUUUAUCUCUGGGGGGGAUGAGCCCACCUACAGAGAAGAAGUGGAGCGGCUGUCGAAUUGGAGCACGGCCAACAACCUUCUCCUUAACACUGCAAAGACAAAAUAACUCAUAAUAGACUACAGGAGAAAGAAGACUGAGAUCACACCAUUGACCAUCAGCCGGAUCAGUGUGGAGAGGGUGGCAGACUUUUGCUUCCUGGGGGUCCACAUACAGGACAGCCUAUCCUGGAGUGUGGACACCUCUGAGCUGCUGAAAAAGGCCCAGCAGAGACUGUCCUUCCUGAGAAUACUCAGGAAUUGAGGAGUAACAUCACACAAAGACUGCUGGUGUUCUUUUACCGAGCCUCUAUUGAAAGUAUACUCACAUACUGCAUAGGCAUUUGGUAUACCAGCUGUACAGUGGCUCAGAGGAAAAUGCUCCAGAGGGUCAUCAACACCGCUCAAAAGGUGGUUGGCUGCCCUCUCCCCGCACUGGGAGACCUACACAGAUCCCGUUGUCGCAAAAGAGCCCCGAACAUCAUAAGACACUUCACAUCCUGGGCACUCCCUGUUUGAAAUGUUGCCGUCAGGCAGACGGUACAGAUCAAUCAAGGCCAAUGAAUGUUGCACUGACUGGAAGCACCUUAAUUUCGUUGUACCUGUGACAAUGACAAAUAAAGAUCUAUCUAUCAGGAUGCAACAGAGGAUGCUGUGAGCAACACAGACCCCUUGCUGGACUACCCCUCUCUAGGUGUCCAGGUACUCCACAGUAUGACUAGCUGUAUAGUCAAAAUAGUAACAGUAAUUUUUCAUUCUGAGGGGAUUCCUACACAAUAGCUAAAUCUGGCUCUUUUUUCAUUUAACUGGCAAGUUUUCCUUUUACAUGGUAGUUGCUAUGGCUCAGGGGUAUUGACAAUUGAGGUGGACAUUUGAGAAUGAAUACACCCAAAGCUGCUAGAAUGUAGUAAGUAUUUAUUGAAUAUAGCUUUUUGCAGAAAGGACCUGACACACACAGCGUACAUUGGGUAGUCUGUCGGCAUCUGAUGAAACAUUCUCCAGAGACA